GUAUGAGUGGCAGAGAUUUAUGCGUUAGAUUUAAAAUCUAGAGACAGAUUUAUUUAUCUCUCAGACA
rnacentral:tRNA from 1 species